GUUAUGGCUGUUUUUACUAUGGUUUAGAGGGCAACCCAGCUAAGAGAGUUUCAGUGACAUGAAGAAUGUGAAGUGAACUACCUAUCACCACACUACUGCAAUACUUCAUCACACUUUCUUUAGCAUCAGGAAAUUUAUCUUAACAUGUGGAGUAAUGCUGUUGGUUGCUGUGAAUUCCAUUUUUACGGUUUUGUCAUCAAGAAAAUUUUCAGUGUGCUUCCUAGAAAAGAGCACGCAGUUUCUUUGUGGAAUCGUGUGGUCCUGGCACGGAUAUUCUUGAGCCAAUUCUGGCUUUUGUCCAUGACCAACGUUCUGCUCCAUCCUUA